AUUGAACGCUGGCGGCAUGCCUUACACAUGCAAGUCGAACGGCAGCGGGGACUUUGGUCCGCCGGCGAGUGGCGAACGGGUGAGUAAAGUAUCGGAACGUACCUUUCAGUGGGGGAUAACGUAGCGAAAGUUACGCUAAUACCGCAUAUUCUGUGAGCAGGAAAGCAGGGGAUCGCAAGACCUUGCGCUGAUUGAGCGGCCGAUAUCAGAUUAGCUAGUUGGUGAGGUAAAGGCUCACCAAGGCGACGAUCUGUAGCGGGUCUGAGAGGAUGAUCCGCCACACUGGAACUGAGACACGGUCCAGACUCCUACGGGAGGCAGCAGUGGGGAAUUUUGGACAAUGGGGGCAACCCUGAUCCAGCCAUGCCGCGUGAGUGAAGAAGGCCUUCGGGUUGUAAAGCUCUUUCGGCCGGGAAGAAAUCGUAUGGGUUAAUACCCUGUGCGGAUGACGGUACCGGCAUAAGAAGCACCGGCUAACUACGUGCCAGCCGCCGCAGUAAUAC
rnacentral:rRNA from 1 species